ACGAGCCCCCAGAUGCCUACGGCCAGGCAGCCCAGCGCGAGCAGAAAGCCCAGGACGAUGCCGAUGAUCACGCCUAUACGCCGGGAGUCUGUGGAGAGAAGUGGAGGCAGCUCCAGGCCAAGAGAACAACAGCUCAUUCCUGAGAUAAGGAUCCUGCUGCCAUCUGCCACAUCCUGAGGCUGCUCAAGGCAAGCCAGGGAUGAGCCAGAACUCGGCUGAGAGCAGAGGCUCCACCCUGGGGAAGCACCGCUGGAAGCACCCACACAGGAAGGACUCUCUCCAUGCCAUAGGAGCCUGCCAGGCAGGACGCACUAAGGAAGUACUACAGGGAAUGCGAGAGGAGAGGCUGGAGAGAGGGAAGAAAGGCAAAGUGGAAGAGAGAGCUGGAUGGGAGACUUGAGGAGAGACAGGAAUGGAGGAAUCACAUGGGCUCUCCAAGGAAGAGGACAGUGGUGAUUCUUUGCCCCCCAAAAGCACCAGAAACUGGCCAUGCUUUACGGGGUGUCAUCUCAAUAGUGGUGCCUACUCUCUGCUUGCAAAUUCUUUCUGAAUCUUCACGGUGCUUCCAGAACUCCUGAUCUUCCCUCUGGAGGUAAGGGAGGGGAUAAAAGGCGGCUCCAGCUGAGGGUAUUGAUGCGUUAAUGCAGCCAGUGCUGAGUUGUCCUCACACACCCAUUGACACACCACACAGGGGGAAGUCCAGGUCCCCACAGCACAGGUGGAGCCUCCCGAGUGGACUCUGCCAGCCCUGUUCUCAUCAGACAGAGAGGGGCUGCAGCUAUCCUGCCGGAAAUGUCAUCCUUCCCACGCAGGCGCACGCACCCACACACUCACAUACACAUUCACGCUCACACAAAGGCUGAAAAUGUCACCCCGCCUUCCCAAAUUCCUCCUUCAUGCCCCUUCAUCCCAAAUCCAGACUGCAAGAGGGACUCGGAGCCCUUUCCAGUGAUGUUGGCAUAGAAUGCCCCUUGGUGGAACUUGCCCCAACCUGGGCAGGAAGCCACAAUGUCCAAACUUGAGCCCUGCCCUGUGGACCUGUCCUGGUGGGGUGAGAAGUCUCUGGAGUUGCCAUCCCCACCACCCUCAGGCCUCAUCCUAGAGUGGAGCACUGCCCUGUCAUAGCACAGGGGGCCCAAGGCUGAGGUCUCAGGCCUGAGCUGUCACUGGCCAUGAUGGAAGAAACCACUCAGACUUACACCAGACUUAGUCUCUUGCCCUUUCAAGGCAAGUGACUUCCCUGCCCCUUGGCCCUGGCCUUGGGAGAGAAGGAGUAGCGUUGGGAAUAGCGCACAGUCUGAUGAAAAUUGAUCCUUCCCAAGCUCCUCCUGAGCCCUCACCCAAUGCCCGUGUUUACCUCUCUCCUACCCCACCUCCAGCUCCUGCAGAGCAAUCAAUCCCUCUCCUCCUAGUCACAGCAUGAGCUUGCAGGGCACCUGCACACAUGUGUGAGCCCGACAGGGGACAUAUAAAGAUCCACUCAAAGACCUCUGCACUACAGACACACACCCUGAACAUCAGGCACAGGGUCUCCUGGGGAAAGGUCCCCUAGUAAUACCCACACCCGGCUGCAGCAGGGCAAGGGUGGGCAGCACCCUGCCAGGCAACUCAGGCAGCCCCAGGCUCCGCUGUGAGCCCUUGCUGCCCCUUUCCUUCCCACCUAGCCUCAUGCUGGCUAUCCCUGCCCCCUGCCCAGCCCCGUACCUGGGCUCAGGCACACGAGUAGAAGGUGGAAUGCUCCUCCAACUCUCAUGUCUCUAGGCUCGGUGUUUCCUCCGUCUGGGCUGGGUAUCCCGUGGGGUCGUAGUGGUGGGUGUGAGGGGGUGGGUGGAGGGAGGGGGAGCUGAGGGCCCAGACACUGCCUGGGGUGGCAGGAAGGUGCAAUGAGUGCCCAGCUGGGGAGCAGCUGGAGUUAUUUCUAUGGGAGGGAGGGGGCCUGGUCCCCGCCUUGGGGAGGAGUCCCAGGAACCCUAAUUAGCAGGGUGACAGGGUGGCCUACCUGGGCAUUACCCAGCCCUCACCCAAGCUCUUCCCUGUCCUAAGAGUGGCACAGGACAGCCAGCGGGACUUGUAAUUAGGCACCUGUUAAACUUCACUUCCUCCUGGCCACAUCCUCAGGGUGACAACAGUCACCUCAUUUACAGCUUCCAAGGGCUCCCCCCACCACUCAUUUGCUGCCUCCUUCCCUGGGGGAAGUGGGGAAGAGGAAGGAGAAGCCAGGCUUGGGAGAAAGAGUGGCCAGGCCCUGAAGAGUUAAUCCUGAUCCCAGGGCAUAGGGUUCCCCAGGAGUGUCCAGCCCACCUUCCCCCAGGCUUCAGGCCUUUCAAAGGGACUCAGACCUCCUGAGCUGAAAGAGGAGAGAAGGGGUGUGUGCAGGAACAGAGUCUCCUCCUGGCUGUCCCCUCUGGAACAGUCCUCCACACCCAUACCUGACUCAAGGCCAUCCCUAAGUGUAGGGGACCCCUGGGAGCAGGGGUGCUAUGGGGGGUCCAGGGUGUGUGCUAGGAGUAAGGUGACUGAUGGGCUGGUGAGGGAAUGUUGGAGAGAACAGCGCCAAGAGGACCAGGGAAGGGGGUGCCUGUGUAAGCGUGUGCACCCCUCAGCAAUGUCUGUGGGAGGGAGGCAGGAUGUCUGUGUCAGGGUGUCUGUGAGGAUGGCUAAGCCCCUCUGAGUGAACUUCUUGAGGGAUCGCUUGGUGUCCUGGCUUCUCUGCCCAGAAAGAGUAGCCAGGUCUUGAGGGUUAAUGCAGUCCCAGUAUUAACUGGGUCCUUGAGACCAAGGACCCUCAUAACCUGGACUGGUCAUCGGGCUGACUAAACUAGCACAGUUCUGGGUAAGUUGGUGCUGGGGUGGGGAGGGUCCUGGUAGGCAUGGGGAGCAAGUGAAGGGCCCCCCCUUGUUGGCUUGUCUAAGGGGGACAGAAUGGGCAUGUGCCUCGUUGGACUCCAUGGUGGGAGUCAGGACAUGAGUGACCCCAUUCAAUAGCUCGACUCCCUCAAAGGAGUCAGGGACUGCCCCCAUCCCUACCAUGGGGCACAGAAAGGGCAGAGGAGGAAGAGUGUUAGGGAGAGUUAUGGGACUCAGGGAUGCUGCCAGGGCCCACCCCUCUGGGGAAAAAUAAGUCAGAACAUUAAGGAAACACAAGGAGUCCACGCAUCUCUGCAUUCCAAGCCGUUGCACCUGAACUCCCAACAAUAACAGGGCGCUCUGAGACCUACCAGAUGUACACAAUGAAUAUCUUUAUUUCCUUAUUUAUUUUUAGGUUUAUGGGAUUGUCCUGCUCCCUUUGAAGAGCAGGGAUCAUUAUCCCCAUUUUACAGAUGGGGAAACAGAGACCUGGAGAAACAUGGGGAUUCAGCCAAUGCAGCUGGUACCUAAGCUGGGAUACCCAGGUACCCAGGGUGUCAGUCCAGAGAGGUCCAAAAAAUGGUCUUGGUGAGCCUGUGGAUUACUAGACCCACUCAUGAACAAGAACCAUGGAAGGUCAGGGUGAGUGCGAGGGAAAACAGGUCAGACCACGAACAGAGAGAUUGAGGAGAAAGCAGUAACGUUGUGGUUCCACUAAACUACAGUGCAGGCUUCAGAUUUAAUUGGGUUCUGGAUGUGGGCUAAUGUUAGAGCUGGGGUUAAGUUUGGGGUUAGUUGAAUUAUGAAUGAGGUUGAGGUCAAUUUGAGGUUGGGAUUAGAGUUAAGGUUGGGAUUAGGGUUAGAAAUACAGCUAGAAUUGAGGCUCAGGUUUAUGGCUGGGAUUUGUGUUACGAUAAGGAAUAGAGUUUUAGUUUCAUUUACAGCUCUGCCUGGGAAUACAGUUAGGGCUAAAUCAAAGGCUGGGUUUAGAUUGAUUUAGCAUUGGGUUAGAACUAAGUUUGAGAUUCACGUUGAAAUAGGCUGUGGUUAGGGUUGGAACAUGGCUUAAAGACACGUAAGCAGCGGGAGUUGAUGGGGAUCAAAGAUGAGGUUUUAUUUCUAAUAUAGAAAGACUUCAGCCUCCAUCUGCUAAAUCCAGGUUUGGCUAGAAUUUUCAAUCCUUAGUGUGGGGAGACUACUAAUGGCACAUGCUGAUUGGGGUCCCAAGACUUGGAGGAGGAAGCCAAAUGUACACGAGCCCAUCUAAGGGGUAUGAGGCAACUAAAUCCCAUAGAGAAUGGACCCUCUGAAGUCCUGCUCCACUACUAAAGCUCACCACCUGGCCAAGCUCCAGGAAAAACAUCUGGGGAGGAGACGCAGGAAGCUACUGACAAUGAGUUGGGCUCUGACACCAAACCGAACUAGAAGAUGGGGUCCAUCAGAGGGAGUCUUACUGAGUGGGGAGGAGGGGUGGUCUGGAUUUAGAGUCCUUAGGAGAUGGGAGUUGGGAGAAACUGAGGGCCUACAUGCUCCUAGAACAGCCGCUUUAUGGGGCACCACAUGGGGGUCUUUCAAAGCCUGAAAGGGCAGAGUGCCAUUGUUGUUUCCCCUUGACCCUCUGAGGCUUAAUUGCUACCUUCUUGCAAUUUGAGUCCUAUAAAAGAAGCUGUCAGCCUUCCAGCCCUAUACCCUGAGCCCUGCAGGGUUUUCGGGGAGGGCAGCAGUGGGGAGGCUGUGGAUGGGGUGAAGGCACUGGGGCGUCAGCAUAGUUUCCAAAGCAUAUGUCACAGUCCUACAGUCCCCUCCCUCUGGGCCCAGCUCACAGUCCGUGUAAGUCUCUGGGCCUUAUCCUCAGCGGUGGAAGAGGGCCCUACUCCUAGGAAGACCCCUGUCCCAAUUCCUCCCUCUCAUUUUUCCCCAACCAGUCUCCAGCCCAAACAUCUCAUUUCCCCACCCACUUCCUUUUCAGGUUUUAUAAAGGUCUGGUCCAGGAGACUACCGGGGUUCCCCCUGUGACCCCAGAGAGAGAGAAGAAAGAGAUUGGGAGAGAUAGUGAUGAGUUAAGGGGCAAAGACAGAGACAGGGACAGAGGCAGACAGAAAGACACAUGGUCUAAAUGGCCCCUCCAGAGACUCAGAGGGAUACAGAGGAGGCAGAGGGCCCAGGCCACGAGCUGGGAACCAAUACAAAUUUCCGAAAGGGCCCCUUGCUUUUUCCUAAGAAAUCCAUGACUCUCCAGGGAAGAAUGGCCCUGGUUUGACUGGUAUUUGUUUCUAUUCUAAGACAGUAACAGAAAAUCAAAGACAGGCUUAGAAAGGAGUAAACAGGGAGAUACAGGAGGUAGGAAGAGGCUGGACAAAAACUCAGAGAAGGCCACAGAUUGCUUACCAGAUGAAGUGCAGCCCAGCCCCAGAACCUUUCUGGGAAGGACAGACAGAGGGCUUGGGCUGCCUACUCUUCCUCCAAAGCCUAUUCUUCCUCCAAAGUCCCUUUCAUGGCAACUCCACCCCACUCCUCUAAGCCCUGCCCUCCCCUGCCUGUACUUGCCCACCCCAACCCCUCUCAGUGGCCUCCAGACUCCCUGGGCUCAGGCUCAAUCAAGCUCCCCACAACCCCUGCCUUGGCUGGCACUGCAAUUUGACUCAUUCUAAACUCCUCCCCACACAGUCAGCAAGCUCCUCAGCCCCCUCUCCCAAGUCCCCAUGUAGCCCAGGUCUCACCCUGCAGCACCCAGGGAGGAGCUGUCCUGCAGAGGAAACCUCUGAGGUAAGACUCUGGGAGCAGAAGCUGUGAGUGACAAUGGAUAGGCAAAGAGUCACAGAGAAGCCAAGGAGCCUUGCAGCUGCUGUCUGUCCACCCAGCUUUCAGUGAUGAUUUGGAGGUGGAGGUCAGCCAGGUGAGGCCAUGGUUGCAUGAGAAGGGCAGGGGGCUCAGAGGUUGCAUGGGUGGUGAUGGGACAACAUCGGGUUCUGGUUACAGAGAGGGAUGAGAUCGACAUGUGGGGCUAAGUUUGAGGGUGUGGGUUGGGUUCGAAACUAAGGCUCAAAUCAAAGCUGGCAGGGAAGAGCCGUGAACACAGGUGACACAGGGACUCCCCAAGCCCCUGCUUAGGUUUCCCAAACCUCAGUGGUUCUGACUGGUACACUUCAGAAGAAGUGGGAUUCUAGGAGGAGCCUGGAUAUGCCCACAUCUCUCCCAUCAAGCAAUGUCCUGAAGCUGACAGACUCAGAAGAGCAAGCAGCACACACAUAGUCCCCAUCAAUUAAAGGAGUGGCUGGAGUUGUCACUACAUCAACAAAGCACAAGAGCAAAGGGAGGCGAUUGAAUGCCACCAACUGAAUUGUUAGCAAGAGAAUGAGUGGAGGCGAGAAGAAAUCGCUUGUAAAGGGUAUGUGAUUCCCUGAUGACAGAUCUGAGGAAGAAUGAAGAGGCUUUGAAGAUAAAGGUAUCUUCACCUCGCCAAGAUCAACCACAUCCUGCAGAACCUUCAUUCAUUCAGCAAACAGCCGGGCUUUAUGCUAGGCCCUGGGGAAAUGGCAAUUAAGGAGACUCAGUCCCUAUCCUUACAGAACACCCCAUCUGACAUGGAAAUAGCUCCUGGCCCGCAAUGUGGUAAGCUGCAGUAAUACAUGCAAGGCCCCUGACUUAGUGGCAAUGAUGUUUAAGCCGAGAUCUGAAGGACAACUAACAACGGCGUGCCAGAGAAAAGAGUAGGGGGUGGAGAGAGGGGGCCAGGGGAAUAUUUCUGGGCUUGGUAAGUAAGCCAGGUCCCUGCCAGACAUGGACUGAGAAGAGCAAAGCCAGGAGUGACAGCUGAUGAUUAUUUUUAACUGAGGAAGGAAGAUCCUUGAGAAUGGAACCUCUUGGGACCUUCUACCCAGAACACCAGAGCACCUCACUGGGAUCAGAGCCAGGCCAUCGGGUGGAUUAAGCAACUAAAAUUGAUCGUCCUAAACCAUGAGUCUGUCUGUUUAUGGGGAGAGAAACUUUGAGAUGAAUUAAUCCAGAGGUCCAAUGGGACUUUGACAUUUUAAUUUGUAGAAAUAAAACUUGCCUUUGAUUUUGCC